AGUUGAGAGGCAGUGUAGUGAUUCUCUAUGGGGGGCUCGACACAAAGAACUGUCAUCCGAAUGCUGGCUGUGUUGGAAACUUUCUGUGUGGCCUUCUUCACUAUAGUUAUCCAGAGCAUUCGUUUCCCUGCUGCCAAAGAACAUUGAGGACUGCUGAACACAGGAGACACUCACUGUGAUACUCACUCAAAACUUGUACCAGUGCUGGCGCCCACUGGACUUCUCCAAGAGCUGAUGCAACUCACUAACCUGGCAGAAAACCAGCCCAGCUGCACAGUUUUUUCUCAGGGAAGGCUCUGAGAAGCACAACCACAAGGGAAGAGGAGACAGAGUACCAAGGAAGGAAAAGAUGAGGAGCAGAGGUAAGGAGG
rnacentral:lncRNA from 1 species